rnacentral:rRNA from 1 species
UACGUAGGGUGCGAGCGUUAAUCGGAAUUACUGGGCGUAAAGCGUGCGCAGGCGGUUCGCCAAGUCAGGUGUGAAAUCCCCGGGCUUAACCUGGGAAUUGCGCUUGAAACUAGCGGGCUUGAGUGUGGCAGAGGGGGGUGGAAUUCCACGUGUAGCAGUGAAAUGCGUAGAGAUGUGGAGGAACACCGAUGGCGAAGGCAGCCCCCUGGGUCAAGAUUGACGCUCAUGCACGAAAGCGUGGGGAGCAAACAGG